UACGGAGGGGGGCUAGCGUUGUUCGGAAUUACUGGGCGUAAAGCGCACGUAGGCGGCUUUGUAAGUUAGAGGUGAAAGCCCGGGGCUCAACUCCGGAAUUGCCUUUAAGACUGCAUCGCUAGAAUUGUGGAGAGGUAAGUGGAAUUCCGAGUGUAGAGGUGAAAUUCGUAGAUAUUCGGAAGAACACCAGUGGCGAAGGCGGCCCGCUGGGCAGUGGCUGACGCUGAGGCGCGACAGCGUGGGGAGCAAACAGG
rnacentral:rRNA from 1 species